rnacentral:rRNA from 1 species
UACGGAGGGUGCGAGCGUUUGUCCGGAAUCACUGGGCGUAAAGGGCGCGUAGGCGGCCUGAUAAGUAGGGGGUGAAAUCCUGCGGCUUAACCGCAGGGCUGCCUUCUAAACUGUCAGGCUCGAGCACAGUAGAGGCAGGUGGAAUUCCCGGUGUAGCGGUGGAAUGCGUAGAGAUCGGGAAGAACAUCAGUAGCGAAGGCGGCU